rnacentral:rRNA from 1 species
GAUUAUGGCUCAGGAUGAACGCUAGCUACAGGCUUAACACAUGCAAGUCGAGGGGCAGCAUGACCUAGCAAUAGGUUGAUGGCGACCGGCGCACGGGUGAGUAACACGUAUCCAACCUACCGGUUAUUCCGGGAUAGCCUUUCGAAAGAAAGAUUAAUACCGGAUAGCAUAGCGAGAAGGCAUCUUCUUGUUAUUAAAGAAUUUCGAUGACCGAUGGGGAUGCGUUCCAUUAGUUGUUGGCGGGUAACGGCCCACCAAGACAUCGAUGGAUAGGGGUUCUGAGAGGAAGGUCCCCCACAUUGGAACUGAGACACGGUCCAAACUCCUACGGGAGGCAGCAGUGAGGAAUAUUGGUCAAUGGACGAGAGUCUGAACCAGCCAAGUAGCGUGGAAAAGGAUGACUGCCCUAUGGGUUGUAAACUUCUUUUAUAUGGGAAUAAAGUGAGCCACGUGUGGUCUUUUUGUAUGUACCAUACGAAUAAGGAUCGGCUAACUCCGUGCCAGCAGCAGC